ACUCAUUUCUAGGUUCUCUGCCCGGGUCUGGAGCAUGGCGGGGUUCGCUGAGAUCGGGUUGUCGUCGUGGCUGGUAGAACAGUGUCGACAGCUGGGGUUGAAGCAGCCCACGCCGGUGCAGCUCGGGUGCAUUCCGGCCAUCCUGGAAGGUCGGGACUGCUUGGGCUGUGCAAAAACAGGAAGUGGCAAGACAGCAGCCUUUGUGCUUCCCAUCUUGCAGAAGCUGUCUGAGGACCCUUAUGGCAUCUUCUGCUUGGUUCUGACACCCACCAGAGAGCUGGCCUACCAGAUCGCUGAGCAGUUCCGGGUGCUGGGGAAGCCUCUGGGUCUGAAGGACUGCAUCAUUGUUGGUGGAAUGGACAUGGUGGCUCAGGCGCUGGAGCUCUCUCGGAAGCCACAUGUAGUGAUUGCCACCCCUGGGCGCCUGGCUGACCACCUGCGCAGUUCCAACACUUUCAACAUGAAGAAAAUCCAAUUCCUGGUGAUGGAUGAGGCCGACAGGCUGCUGGAGCAGGGUUGCACCGACUUCACCACAGACCUGGAGACCAUCCUGGCAGCCGUUCCAGCACGAAGGCAAACGCUGCUGUUCAGUGCCACGCUGACUGACACACUCAAGGAGCUGCAGGGCCUGGCCACCAACGAGCCCUUCUUUUGGGAGGCACAGGCCACAGUCCGCACAGUGGAGCAGCUUGAUCAGCGCUAUUUGUUGGUACCGGAGAAGGUGAAGGACGCCUACCUGGUUCACCUAGUCCAGACCUUCCAGGACCAGCUGGAGGACUGCUCCAUCAUCAUCUUCACCAAUACCUGCAAGACCUGCCAGAUCCUUUGUAUGAUGCUUCGAAAGUUCAACUUCCCCACAGUGGCACUGCACUCCAUGAUGAAGCAGAAAGAGCGCUUUGCGGCCCUGGCCAAAUUCAAGUCCAGCAUCUAUCGGAUUCUUAUUGCCACUGACGUGGCCUCAAGGGGCCUGGACAUCCCCACCGUGCAGGUGGUCAUCAACCACAACACCCCUGGGCUUCCCAAGAUCUACAUCCAUCGGGUUGGCCGCACAGCCCGUGCAGAGGUCCCUGGAGCUGAUCAGCUGGGACAAGCCUGUUGAUGGGGCCCAGGUUCUAUGACAAAUGUGUCCCCACAGGGAGGCAGGGGCAAGCCAUCACACUGGUGACGCAGUAUGAUAUCCACCUGUUGCAUGCCAUCGAGGAGCAGAUCAAGCAGCAGCUGGCAGAGCUGGUGGUGGAGGAGGCUGAGGUUCUACAAAUCCUCACGCAGGUCAACGUAGUGCGAAGGGAGUGCGAAAUAAAACUGGAGGCUUCGCAUUUUGAUGAAAAGAAAGAGAUCAACAAGCGGAAACAGAUGAUCCUGGAGGGGAAGGACCCAGACCUGGAGGCCAAACGCAAAGCUGAGCUGGCCAAGAUCAAGCAACAAAACCGACGCUUCAAGGAGAAAGUGGGGCAGACACUUCGGCGGCAGAAAGCAGGGAGCACUGUCCGACGGUCGCGUCCUCCCAGAUCUCGGCCCCAAGAGCCAGCCCAGGCUGAGGCUCAGGACUGAGCUGUAAACCUGGUGCUGGUGGCCCCUGACUUCAGUAAACACUCUUUGAAGUUGUCAGUCUGACUUGAGAAUGGGGUGGGAUGAGUACAGGGCCUUCAGGUCUCAGGAUCCCAAAGCCUCUGUUGCCCCAUGGGGAUGACUAGUGCAGCCUUCCCUCGCAGUGUCCCUGGGGCGCAGGGCAGCAGCAGCCAGGGACAGCAACGCCACACGUAGAAAUGUAACCUGGGUAGAAGCACUGCCCAAGGAUUCUAGAAAACUCUACACAGUGCAAAGCUCAGAGACAGCUGGGGUCCCCUGGCCCCUGCCAGGGCGCCUUGAGGCCGCAGACACUCCAUGGCAGACUAGGGUGCUGCCUCUGCCAGGCGUGCCAGGCCUUCACGCAGCUCGCUGAGCUCAAACAGCCGAACAUCCAGCAGCUGCGCAGCCCGGCCCACCUCCGCCCGUGCGCGCUCCCGCUCGGCCCGCGCCUCCUCCAGGUUGCACUCCAUCGACCGCAGCUGCUGCUCCAGCUCUGCAUUCCGGGUCUCCAGGUCCUACACGGGGAAGACGGGGUGGGGUGGAAGCUCUGGUUGCCAGUUAUGGCUGAUGUGGCCCAUGGCUCUCACCGGGUCAGUAAAGUGCCAUUAAAGUGUGAAGUACUGA